CACAACUUGGAGACUGUCGAUAUUAGAAUACAGUGCAAAGCUGGAACCCUAGGAAGAAUGAAAAGUUGUGGGUUUCACUGGCUAUGCCAACAGUUCCUUUACAGCAAUUCAGAAGUCCCACCUCACUUGUUCCAGCUUUCCUUCACCUAAAGGAAGGGAUAGGGAAAAAUCCCCAACCUAAAUGUCAGGCUCCUCACCUCCUCUGAGGACACUCCCAGCAGAAAGCCACCUGCACACACAGUGACCGCAUGCCUC
rnacentral:lncRNA from 1 species